AUGGUCAAACCAAAGAACCAAGGCGGUAUGGGAUUCAAAGACAUGCGCUUGUUCAGUCAAGCUCUCCUGGCUCGCCAAGUUUGGUGGCUUCUGCAUUUUCCUGAUUAUUUGUGUGUGCAUGUACUUAAGGCAAAAUACUACCCUAACGGAGUCCUUACCGAUACCGUCUACACCGACAAUGGCUCUUCUACGUGGCAUGCAAUCGAGUAUGGACUCGAGCUGCUUAAGAAAGGUAUGAUAUGGCGUGUUGGCAAUGGGGCGAGCAUCCGAGCAUGGCGAGACCCGUGGAUACCAAGAAGCCACCAGCUACGACCAAUCACCGUGAGAGGGCGAUGCCGACUGUGCUGGGUUUCAGAUUUUAUACAACCCAAUGGCAGCUCGAACAUGGACUUACUGCGGUGGCAUUUCUUCACAAUUGAUGUGGACGAAAUUGUAAAGAUCAAACCAUCAAUGCGGAACCAAGAGGACUUCAUUGCAUGGCAUCCGGACAAGCACGGCUCCUUCACUCUAUGGAGUGCAUAA
rnacentral:rRNA from 1 species